rnacentral:rRNA from 1 species
CUCAUUAAGUCCGUCAGGGACGAGGCAGCAGUAGAGAAUAUUGUGCAAUAUACGGCAGUAUGACACAGAGAGCACACGCCCUCUUGGCCUGUCCAACUAAGUGCCAGCAGACGCGGUUAGACUUAGGGGCCAAGCCUUUAUGAGCAAAGGGGCGUAAAGGGUGUGUAGGCCGACUGCCCCACCCCCCAAGGUGGUAAAUGGAAUUUUUCUGUAGCGGUAGAAUGUGCGGAUAGAAAAUAGAACUCCAAAAGCUGAAGCAAUUUACCGCGGGGUGGGAGGGGGGCCCCCUGGGGCGCCCCCCGGGCUACGGGCUGAAACACGAGGGUGUGGGGAACAAACAGGAUUAGAGACCCUGGUAGUCCACACUGUAAACGAUGGAGAAAAUGCGAAUGCAGUCCCGAAAGGCAGCAAUCUCCCGCCUGAGUAGUACGAUCGCAAGAUUAAAAUUCAAAAAAUUUGGCUGUUCACCGUUUCAAUUAGAGGAGCGUGUAGUUUAAUUCGAUAAACCGCGAGAUACCUUACCCAAACUUGAAUCCUUGAGGAUUCUAAGGAAUCCUUAUGGACCGGUAUUGCAUGGCCGUCGUCAGUUCGUGUAUGAAACUUAAAACGGACCCAACCCGAAGAUUAACCGCGGAUGAAGUCAGGUCUUAUGGUCCCAAUGUUUGGGGAUAAUAUGCGCUACAUUUUCUUAUACAAUGGGAAACCUGGGAGGUGAAACCCCAAAGUGAGAGUUCGGUAGGCUAUUGGAAGAUGGCCGAAAGUUGAAUUUAAUAGUAAUCGGAAAGUAUAGCGUUCCGGUGAAAUGGUCUAGGUGUUAGCACAAAUCGCCCGUCACCUUAACUUAGGAUGAUGGUUCGGACGCCGCCGCGCCCCCACGGGCCCCGGCGGUUACGGGCCCCUACGAAGUUAAGCAA